AUUGAACGCUGGCGGCAUGCUUUACACAUGCAAGUCGAACGGUAACAGGCCGCAAGGUGCUGACGAGUGGCGAACGGGUGAGUAAUGCAUCGGAACGUGCCCAGUCGUGGGGGAUAACGCAGCGAAAGCUGCGCUAAUACCGCAUACGAUCUAUGGAUGAAAGCGGGGGACCGUAAGGCCCCGCGCGAUUGGAGCGGCCGAUGUCAGAUUAGGUAGUUGGUGGGGUAAAGGCUCACCAAGGCAACGAUCUGUAGCUGGUCUGAGAGGACGACCAGCCACACUGGGACUGAGACACGGCCCAGACUCCUACGGGAGGCAGCAGUGGGGAAUUUUGGACAAUGGGCGCAAGCCUGAUCCAGCAAUGCCGCGUGCAGGAAGAAGGCCUUCGGGUUGUAAACUGCUUUUGUACGGAACGAAACGGUCCUGGUUAAUACCUGGGGCUAAUGACGGUACCGUAAGAAUAAGCACCGGCUAACUACGUGCCAGCCGCCGCGGUAAAAC
rnacentral:rRNA from 1 species